UACGGAGGGGGCUAGCGUUGUUCGGAAUCACUGGGCGUAAAGCGCACGUAGGCGGAUCUUUAAGUCAGGGGUGAAAUCCCGAGGCUCAACCUCGGAACUGCCUUUGAUACUGGGGAUCUCGAGUCCGGGAGAGGUGAGUGGAACUCCGAGUGUAGAGGUGAAAUUCAUAGAUAUUCGGAAGAACACCAGUGGCGAAGGCGGCUCACUGGUCCGGUACUGACGCUGAGGUGCGAAAGCGUGGGGAGCAAACAGG
rnacentral:rRNA from 1 species